GGGGCCGUAGCUCACUGGUAGAGCAUUGGAUUGCAGAUCCAGCGGUAGUCGGUUCGAUUCCGGCCAGCCCCU
rfam:Tritrichomonas foetus strain K scaffold_321, whole genome shotgun sequence.